rnacentral:rRNA from 1 species
CGCCUCUUGAAUUACAUAAGAGGUCCCGCCUGCCCAGUGACUUUGUUCAACGGCCGCGGUAUUCUGACCGUGCGAAGGUAGCGUAAUCACUUGUCCUUUAAAUAAGGACUAGUAUGAAUGGCAUCACGAGGGCUUUACUGUCUCCUAUAUCUAAUCAGUGAAACUGAUCUCCCCGUGAAGAAGCGGGGAUUUUUACAUAAGACGAGAAGACCCCAUGGAGCUUUAAACCAAAAUCAAUUACUUUUUUAUUCUAACCUACGGGCUCACUCAACAGCUAAGUAAUACUGACCUAGGUUUUCGGUUGGGGCGACCACGGAGAAUAAAACAUCCUCCUUGAUGAAUGAACAUUUCUUAACCAAGAGCUACAGCUCUAAGUAAUAAAAUAUUUAACUUACAUUGAUCCAAUCUUAUUGAUCAACGAACCAAGUUACCCUGGGGAUAACAGCGCAAUCCAUUUCAAGAGUUCAUAUCGACAAAUGGGUUUACGACCUCGAUGUUGGAUCAGGGCAUCCCAGUGGUGCAGCCGCUACUAAAGGUUCGUUUGUUCAACGAUUAAAGCCCUACGUGAUCUGAGUUCAGACCGGAGUAAUCCAGGUCAGUUUCUAUCUAU